UGACAUGAAGGUUACUAAUUUAAUUGGCAGAAUUGAAUUCAGCAGAGAGGAUUGGUAGAUCUGAUUUGAGAGGUUUAAUUACAUGGAAAAUCCAGGUCAUAUAUAAUUCUUGUUACAUCCCAAAAUUCCAGUGAGAUUUCCAAAGAGAUGCUUCAUGGUCAUAUAUCUGCUCUGAAGGAGCCCUGCUGUCAGAUGUUCUGCCUGAUUAGCCCUUGAAGGUCUCAGCAAGGUUUCCAUUCUGUCUCCUGUGAAUCUACUGAACCUCCAGAUGAUUCAGAGCAGUCUUGCUGGGAUAAAUAUAGACUGAAACGAGAAUGCUCACUUUGAGUGUCAUAUUAUCAAAUGGUUCUUGGAACUAGGUAUUCUGAAAUGAUAGUUACCAACUUGUGAUGGUGUUCCAAAGAGCUCCAGUUAUAGGAGACUGGAAUCUCAAAUCCUUCUGGAAAAUAGACAUCCUUAAGUAUUCCUGA
rnacentral:lncRNA from 11 species